AGGGGCCAGGGGGUCUAGUUUUAUAGUCCCCUCAAGUGAACCUGGGCCGUCGGAUCAAACCGACAUUGAUUGAACGGUUAUUCUCGAUCCUUUAGGUCGGUGGAGCAUAAUCCGCGAGAUUGAGCGUGAUUGGCCGAAAAAGGUGGGCGGGCGCCCUAAGGACUUGGGCGGGCGCCCUGUCCCUAACUCCGUUCGGUCUCCGCUUUCUUCCCGUGGCUUCUGGAGUCUUCUAGAUGUAAGAUAAUUGCGCGGCACGUUGAUAUCUCUAUGUAAUCCCGACGUGUGGGCCUUUCUUCCCUAUUUCCUGAUAACCCCCUGCAGAAAUAGACAAACACCAAAACUCGUGGAAUUCUGUCAGAUAAAACCCUAAGUCUCGAUGUUGAUUUCAUUUGGAUGCUUUUCUUUGUUUAUUUAAUAGUUAAAUUUGAUACUUAAGGACCGUCAACAAACUCCCCCAAGCUUACCUCUUGCUCGUCCCUGAGCAAGGAUAGACUCAGCUAUGGAUCAUAAGUUGUUGCAAUAUCUUUAAAAAUUGACGGUACACAUACUUUUAAAUGAGGUCUCAUCUCUGAGUUAGAGUAAACUGUCAAGACUUAAAACUUACUUACUUUACCUUUCACCAUGGGACUUAUAACCGUCACUUCUGUCUUGAGUGGUUAAAAGAUAGAACAGUCCAGUCAAGUGCCAUGUCGCUUAUUCUUGAUCAGCUAUAGCUCUGGAGUUUUUGCAGAUUUUCAAAUAAAACUCAGAGAUUCCUUUGUAUGACUCUCUCAUAUCUCUCUUUUGUGGUAUUUCUGGAUCCUUACCAAGGCAGUGAUGGUAUAUGCCUUCUCUCAAAAUUUGUGGUAUUUGUGGUAUAAGGGAUAGUGACAUUGUCUUCUCUCUCACCCUACUCUAAUAAGGCUUUAAUAUGUGGAGCUUAUAGGUGGGAGAUAAAGUAUACAUACUUACAAGACAUUUAUUGUGUAGUCAAACCAUGGAUCCAAAGAAACAAAUCAAUAAGCCAAAUCAAGAUGUGCAUGUGUGGCGAAUGAAUGGUGUAUGGUGAUGAUGGUGAUAACAAUGGUGAAAGUCUAAUUCUACUUUUGCUCUUUUGAGGAGAUACAUACCUUCCUUGCUUUUUGAAACUUUAUGAGGAGAAUGAGAUGAUCUUCUUUUUCUUUCCUCUCAGGUGGGUAUCUUGUACCCCUAAUUCUACUGUCACACACUUGUCCAUUUUUACCUCUCGUCUCACUUUUUCUUUCUUUCGAGGUUCCGGGCACUUGCCCCUUUUUAUUUCCUCGUUUAUUAUUAUUUUUUCUUUUCUUCUCUUUUCUUUUUUUUUCAGAGCACUCAUCUCCUGAAAUAAUGUAGCAAGUGGUAGUAACCAAAAUAACUGGAGCAUUUAUUUCACAGGGAAUAACAGGGAUAGGAAAAUGUUUUUGGCUAUUCUCUCCCGGAUUAGGAGUAGAAUGAUUUUGGGUGAAACUGGAGAUGGAAAUGGAUGGAUAUAUGUGGAUGGUACUUCCGGAGUAGAAGUAGCAUAUAUAAGUGAACGUGCAAGUGAAUAUUGAUUUAACCACAUGACAAGCUCCUAAGGGUCUACACAGCUUGACCACACUCAAUGCUCAUAAGCAGUAAAUAGUAAAUGUGUGGCUCAAAGUCUAGCAAGCAUGUAUAUAUGGCUGUGGUAGGAAUUUAAACUCUCAUCACACAGGAACUCAUCAUGCAAUAUUUUUUUAAAGAUUUUUCAAAGAUAAAAUUCUCCAGAAUUCUAGCAUCUCUAGGAACAGAUAAACAGCAGCUCAACCUUCCCAUAUCAUAUCCGUUAACAACUUAGAUUUCAGAUCAAGUUUUCAUCCCACAAGUUUAGAUCUAGAGCAAGCUUUAAAUUAUAACAGUUAUGUCUAAACUUGAGAGAGAACUUCAAAUUUGUAAAUUAGGCAGAGCAACUAUUCAUCAUAUCCAUGCUAGAGUUUUAUUAUUAAGAUUCAUAGCAAACUUUAUUUAUUUAUUUAUUUAUUUAUUUAUUUAUUUAUUUAUUUAUUUAUUUAUUUAGCAAACUAAGAAAGGAUAUAUAUAUAUAAGCAUAAAAUCUUUAUUUGGUUUUUCAUAGUUUAUGUAUUUUAAUAUUCUAAUAUAAUAUAAGUAUAAAGAUAGGUAGAAAUACUUAGCGAGAUAAUUAGGGGUGCUCUUCCCCAAGCUGAAUUUUGACGUAAUUUCUCUUGAUGUAGCUAGCAGGUGGCAGAGGUGUAUUUGAAAGUCAGCAGCAUUCUGAUAGCGAUUAGAAUGUCCUCCAUCUGCUAGUCUUCUUGAUUCUUAAAUUCUGUGGAGCUCAAAUAGACAACAAAGCUUGUGGAACUAAUUAAGUGUUAGCAUAAAUAUCUAGCCUUCAUCACGUUGAGCUUCCUCAGUAAAUAUUACUCCCUGUUUUUAUAUUUUUAUUUUAUAAAGUAAAAAAGAAAUAUUUAUUUUAUUUUUAUGCCACCACAGUGAAGAUACUUAUGGGUUUUAUGCCACUCGUAUACUCACAUGGGGCUUAGUAUUUUUUAACAUUUUUAUUUUCUUUUCAAGAUAGCAUGAUUAACUAAUAAUCUAUUUAAGGAAAGUAAAUAAUUAAAUGGAAAAGGAAAUGCAGAAAGGAUAAAUAUGGAUAACUACCAAUCUUACCUUUCGGCGAGGGUUCAAAGUUUUAAGUCUUCUUGUCAAGACUUCUCAUCGUGUUCAUUCUUCAGGUGCGUCAUUUGAUUCAGGUGCGGACCUUGACGUCUGCACCUUUUAAUACGGUGUCACCCAUGUUCUUCGUUUGCCCAGCAGUUCGAAGUGCGGCGUUAGCAGUAUCUUGCUCAGUGUUUUUGUGCUUGUAGUGUACCUGCUUAUAGAGGCAAGGUAGAGAUCAAGUGCAUGGGCCCUGUUGGUGGAAAACACCAACAGAACCAAAAGUGUAUUUGUUCUUUUCUAACCUUAAGCAUAGUGAGCAAGACAAAGUUGAUGGAUGAUAAGUUCAUGAGUGUAGCACUUAUAACAUUUGUCAGAUCAGAUCGCUCAACCUUAUGGAAAGAUAAUCUAUUUAUGUAUAUGUCUUUUUCUUUAUAUCUCUCAAUGAUUGAAUGUGUAACAUUUUAGCUCAUAUGAUUAGGAGUGUGGGAUCACGGAGGUAGUACUAAGAACAAGGAUUAAAGGACUAAACAUGUUGAAUCAGUUGGGUUGGUUAAUCUAGAGUUGUAAAUCAUACACGUUUGUCUCUUUUAUUUAUAUGAACGCCAGAACCAAGGAGAAGCUUAUAAAAGUGAUAGUCAAGUACCUUAAAAUGUUACCUUGCUCGAAGAGUGAUGGUACAGUAUCAUCUUGUGGAAGCUUUCCUUUCUUAGCGGUUGUGCGUCGUGUUUGUGGCACCCUCCAUGGAUCAUCUCUCUAUGAUGAAUGAGCUAUGUCCUUCUUGUGCAAAUUGUUAAACUUCAUGUGUUACUCUCUUCGUCUCUGAUGUGAGUUUAUCUCAGGACUUCCCAAAUCGAUAUUGAAAGUUUUUCUGCAGGGGUUAGUCCGACAAAAUAUACCAAUAUCUACUCAAGCAGUUUUUUUUAGUUCAAUAACCAAACUAGACUCCAUGUCUAAUCAGAUUAAGGAAGGCUAUUUAACCUAAGCACCAUGCUUAAUUUAAAUGCCAAUGGAAGUAUGGCGAGUACUUCCAAACCAACACUUGCUAGUAAAUAGACAAAGGUAGCAUGACAGCGUUUAUAGAGAUCUACUCAAGUGGAGAUGAAGUAGUGUGAUUAGUAUUUAACAAAUUGAGCAUGUAUCAAAGGUAGGGACAACC
rnacentral:lncRNA from 1 species